rnacentral:rRNA from 1 species
GAUGAACGCUAGCGGUAGGCUUAACACAUGCAAGUCGAGGGGCAGCACAAGGUAGCUUGCUAUCUGGGUGGCGACCGGCGCACGGGUGCGUAACGCGUAUGCAACUUGCCCUAUACAGGAGGAUAACCCGUCGAAAGACGGACUAAUACUGCGUAUGCUCACAACUUGGCAUCAAGUGGUGAGGAAAGAAAUUCGGUAUAGGAUAGGCAUGCGUCCCAUUAGCUUGUUGGUGAGGUAACGGCUCACCAAGGCAACGAUGGCUAGGGGAACUGAGAGGUUUAUCCCCCACACUGGUACUGAGACACGGACCAGACUCCUACGGGAGGCAGCAGUGAGGAAUAUUGGUCAAUGGGCGCGAGCCUGAACCAGCCAAGUCGCGUGAAGGAUGACUGUCUUAUGGAUUGUAAACUUCUUUUAUACGGGAAUAACAAGAGUCACGUGUGACUCCCUGCAUGUACCGUAUGAAUAAGCAUCGGCUAACUCCGUG